GUUAUCUUUAGUUCACUUUCCACACUUAGAGAAAAGAAGCAAAAGCUGAAAACCCCAUUGGAGGCUCUCGGCCAGCCUUGGAGAAAAUCAACCCCCAUUUUUAGCUCUCUUAAAAUUAUUUCCUUGGUACAAACCCAUUAUUUUGAGGACCCUAAGUAGAGUGGAAGCAUCGUUGGAGCGAUCAACCUAUUAAUUUUUCAUCUUUUGGAAAACCCUAGCCUAUUGGAAGUUGAAGAGAAAAAGAUCGUGGGCAGCCCGAAUCAUAGUUUGGACUUAGCUCGAGUUGGAUCAUAUUGGAGAGCGUUCGAGGUACAGACGCACAGUUCGGUGAUCCCCCAGUGUAGGAUACCCCUUUUGCUGUUGGAGUGCUCCCCUCCCUUCAGAGCACAUCUUUUGGUAUACACUUUUGUUCGCUAUGUUGUAUAUAUUCGUUCAUGGGUACGGCGGGGCCCUGUUCCGCCAUAUGAUUCGUUUGGUCUGUUUAGAGGUCUGUAGACUUAUUUGUGGGUGUGUGUGCCAACUUCUGUACAGUUGUGUCCAUAUGAUCUUCUUCGUUAUGGCAGCCUUGUCGGCAUGCAUUUUGUAUAUGUUUUUGGGUCGUUGUGCCAUUUGAUAGCCUUGUCGGCUCGCACAUGUAUAUGCUGUGUUUGGGCGAUCCCAUUCGCCGCGGAGGCCGGU